rnacentral:snRNA from 1 species
CAGCAGGACGGUGGUCAUGGAA